AUGCAAUUGGCCCAUUUUCACUAUUAUCGCAAGCACAAUUUGUAUUUCCGAAAAUGGCUGUGACGUGUGGAAGUUACCUGUGUAUAAGAUUAAUCCUGGCUCUCGUGUUCGCGGCAAAGGUGCUGUCUGGUAUUCCAGCCUCCACCCGCCGUCGCUAUGGCACAACAGUACCUGUUGUACGCCCACACGUGUUAACCACUACUGCCACAACCCAAUACACCCACACUCUACUCUAACACCUCAACACCCAACACCCCUUAUCAUACAGACCCCUCCCACAUUGAAGAUGAUAUUUUACUCCAACAUGCCUCACCCCUUCACACAACAUCUCCUACCCAUAAUUUUCUUGACGACCUCUCCCCCAUGCAACUCAAUGUCCUACUAUCUAUCUCCCCCCACCCAGCCCUAGCCACCAACCUCAUAAUACACUACAGUCCCCCCCCCAGCUCCCCGAUCCCCUCCACCACACCGCCACACUUCCCACCUACUCCCACACCUAGCCACACUAACACACCUCACCCCCCAAACCCUCUACUACCCACACCCCCACUGCACCACACUGCACCCCCUCCCACUACAUCUCACCGCCCAGCCCUACUCCCCACACCUACCACUAAACGUGCCCUACUACCCACACCCUCCCAUACCCAUCUCAUACCACUAGCACACUCCUCCCCUGUACCCCACACCCCUUACCCCACCUACACACCUCAACUCCACCCCAACAUGCCACUACCACCACCCCUAGGCAUACGCACCCCCACACCAUCCCACUCCCCCACACACAACGCCCAAAACCACACAACCACCCCACCUACAACCACCUUCCCUCCUACACAUAGUACAUACACAUACAUACCCACAUCCCUCUCACAAAUUAAAUCUUAUUCUAUCCUUACCACACAACAUACCUACCCACUACUACCACCCAGCUCUAUACAUGUCACAACCCCCUUUCUCCCCCCCCUCAUACCUAGCUAACCACCCAAGUACCCCCCUACUCACAUCACCCGCACCCAACCACCCACCUACCCCACAACAAGCACCCCCUCAUCUCUCACCCCACAAACAGCCCCAUACCCACUUUACCCAUACCACGCCAUCAUACAACCCACCACGAUUAUUCCAAGCCCCAACACAACACCAACACCCACCUAAGCCCCACACACCUACACAUACACUUCCUCCCCCCCUCACACUUUCCUACACUCUCACCUAAAAUAUACACACCUAACACACCCUACACAAGCCGUACCCCUGCCAACACCAAAACCACACACCCCUUCCCCCCCUUGGCCACAACACUACUCACCCUACAACACACCAAACCAACCACACCCUACAGCAGCCACUAGUCCUACAACCAGCGCUCCCUCCAACACCACACCCUAAAU